rnacentral:rRNA from 2 species
UACAGAGGUCUCGAGCGUUCAACGGAUUCAUUGGGCUUAAAGCGUACGUAGGCGGAUGUGCAGGCGUCGUGUGAAAGCCCUCGGCUCAACCGAGGAAUUGCACGGCGAACCGCACGUCUUGAGACAAGUAGGGGCGGUCGGAACGAUAGGUGGAGUGGUGAAAUGCGUUGAUAUCUAUCGGAACGCCGAUGGUGAAGACAGGCCGCUGGGCUUGUUCUGACGCUGAGGUACGAAAGCAUGGGUAGCGAACGGG